rnacentral:rRNA from 1 species
AUUGAACGCUGGCGGCAGGCCUAACACAUGCAAGUCGAGCGGUAGCACAGAGAGCUUGCUCUCGGGUGACGAGCGGCGGACGGGUGAGUAAUGUCUGGGAAACUGCCUGAUGGAGGGGGAUAACUACUGGAAACGGUAGCUAAUACCGCAUAAUGUCGCAAGACCAAAGUGGGGGACCUUCGGGCCUCAUGCCAUCAGAUGUGCCCAGAUGGGAUUAGCUAGUAGGUGGGGUAACGGCUCACCUAGGCGACGAUCCCUAGCUGGUCUGAGAGGAUGACCAGCCACACUGGAACUGAGACACGGUCCAGACUCCUACGGGAGGCAGCAGUGGGGAAUAUUGCACAAUGGGCGCAAGCCUGAUGCAGCCAUGCCGCGUGUGUGAAAAAGGCCUUCGGGUUGUAAAGCACUUUCUCCGGGGAGGAAGGCGGUGAGGUUAAUAACCUCAUCGAUUGACGUUACCCGCAGAAGAAGCACCGGCUAACUCCGUGCCAGCAGCCGCGGUAAUACGGAGGGUGCAAGCGUUAAUCGGAAUUACUGGGCGUAAAGCGCACGCACGCGGUCUGUCUAGUCGGAUGUGAAAUCCCCGGGCUCAACCUGGGAACUGCAUUCGAAACUGGCAGGCUAGAGUCUUGUAGAGGGGGGUAGAAUUCCAGGUGUAGCGGUGAAAUGCGUAGAGAUCUGGAGGAAUACCGGUGGCGAAGGCGGCCCCCUGGACAAAGACUGACGCUCAGGUGCGAAAGCGUGGGGAGCAAACAGGAUUAGAUACCCUGGUAGUCCACGCCGUAAACGAUGUCGAUUUGGAGGUUGUGCCCUUGAGGCGUGGCUUCCGGAGCUAACGCGUUAAAUCGACCGCCUGGGGAGUACGGCCGCAAGGUUAAAACUCAAAUGAAUUGACGGGGGCCCGCACAAGCGGUGGAGCAUGUGGUUUAAUUCGAUGCAACGCGAAGAACCUUACCUGGUCUUGACAUCCACAGAACUUUCCAGAGAUGGAUUGGUGCCUUCGGGAACUGUGAGACAGGUGCUGCAUGGCUGUCGUCAGCUCGUGUUGUGAAAUGUUGGGUUAAGUCCCGCAACGAGCGCAACCCUUAUCCUUUGUUGCCAGCGGUUAGGCCGGGAACUCAAAGGAGACUGCCAGUGAUAAACUGGAGGAAGGUGGGGAUGACGUCAAGUCAUCAUGGCCCUUACGACCAGGGCUACACACGUGCUACAAUGGCAUAUACAAAGAGAAGCGACCUCGCGAGAGCAAGCGGACCUCAUAAAGUAUGUCGUAGUCCGGAUUGGAGUCUGCAACUCGACUCCAUGAAGUCGGAAUCGCUAGUAAUCGUAGAUCAGAAUGCUACGGUGAAUACGUUCCCGGGCAU